rnacentral:rRNA from 1 species
GAUGAACGCUGGCGGCGUGCCUAAUACAUGCAAGUCGAGCGAACAGACGAGGAGCUUGCUCCUCUGACGUUAGCGGCGGACGGGUGAGUAACACGUGGAUAACCUACCUAUAAGACUGGGAUAACUUCGGGAAACCGGAGCUAAUACCGGAUAAUAUAUUGAACCGCAUGGUUCAAUAGUGAAAGACGGUUUUGCUGUCACUUAUAGAUGGAUCCGCGCCGCAUUAGCUAGUUGGCAAGGUAACGGCUUACCAAGGCAACGAUGCGUAGCCGACCUGAGAGGGUGAUCGGCCACACUGGAACUGAGACACGGUCCAGACUCCUACGGGAGGCAGCAGUAGGGAAUCUUCCGCAAUGGGCGAAAGCCUGACGGAGCAACGCCGCGUGAGUGACGAAGGUCUUCGGAUCGUAAAACUCUGUUAUUAGGGAAGAACAAAUGUGUAAGUAACUAUGCACGUCUUGACGGUACCUAAUCAGAAAGCCACGGCUAACUACGUG